GAGGAAAGUCCGGGCUCCACAGGGCAAGGAUAACGGGUAACGCCCGCCGAAGGCAACUUCAGGAAAAGUGCAACAGAGAUAUACCGCCUCACCGGCGCAUCCCCACCGGGGCCGCCUGUGGGGUAAGGGUGGAAAGGUGCGGUAAGAGCGCACCCGAUGCCGGGGAACCGCGCAUCGCUGUAAACUCUAUCCGGAGCAACACCGUGGUGGAAGCAACAGGCUGGCCCGGCCGCUUCCGGGAGGUGGCUUGAGCGCGUCGGCAAUGGCGCGCCUAGAUAGAUGACUGUUUGAUACAGAACCCGGCUUACAGUUUUCCUC
rnacentral:RNase_P_RNA from 1 species